GCUGCAUGAGGACCAAACUGUCUCCUUUGACCAAUCAAUGAACCUGAUCUCCCAGUACAAAAGCUGGAAUAAAACCAUAAGACGAGAAGACCCUGUGGAGCUUUAAAUAUAACUACUAAUUAUAACUGCACCCCCAGGGCCCACAAAACCAAAAUAGUACACAUUUUUAGUUGGGGCGACUACGGAACCAAACAAAACUUCCACGACAACAGACCACCCCCCCCCCCCCCAGGUAAACAUACCAACACCAUUUGACCCAGUAACACUGACCAACGAACCAAGUUACCCCAGGGAUAACAGCGCCAUCCUCUUCAAGAGCCCAUAUCGCCAAGAGGGUUUACGACCUCGAUGUUGGAUCAGGACCCCCAGGUGGUGCAACCGCUACCU
rnacentral:rRNA from 1 species